UUGUAGAAGCCAGUCAGGAAC
rnacentral:piRNA from 1 species